UACGAAGGGGGCUAGCGUUGCUCGGAAUCACUGGGCGUAAAGCGCACGUAGGCGGAUUGUUAAGUCAGGGUGAAAUCCUGGAGCUCAACUCCAGAACUGCCUUUGAUACUGGCGAUCUUGAGUCCGGGAGAGGUGAGUGGAACUGCGAGUGUAGAGGUGAAAUUCGUAGAUAUUCGCAAGAACACCAGUGGCGAAGGCGGCUCACUGGCCCGGUACUGACGCUGAGGUGCGAAAGCGUGGGAGCAAACA
rnacentral:rRNA from 1 species